UUGAUGUUAUUUUCUGAAUGCCAAGCAGAUUGUUAUCAACUGGAAAUUUUUCUUCUUGUAGACUGCAUUGCAUUCAUCAGACAAUUGCUGUAGUCUUUGUUACUAGAAACUGAGUGCUGAUCAGUCAGUUUGUCGAAUGCAAGCCAUUAACCAACCUGAGCAAACUUGGAAGUUCAAUCUUGACUCUAGAGAAAAUCUCUUUGUUUUAUAAAAUCGGAAUAAUAUGAAGUCUAACGUUAAAAAUAACACGUAUGCUGUUCAUAUGAUGGCUGAAACCAACCACUCUAUAUAUAGAAAAAACCAAAUCAAACUCUUCAACUUGGUUAAAAAAAAUCCAAAAAAGUAAAAUAAUUAGAAAAUUAAAAAAAACAACAUCUCCAGAGUCUAUUUUGAGGUCUUCUUGACCUCAGUUAGUACAAGAGGGCUGGUUUGAGCUCGUAGAAUGUCCUGAAAAAAUUUAAAUCCCACCCAAUGAUCAAAUAAAAAGUUACAACUGUUUUUGUAAGAAAUCCCGUGUGACAUGUCUGGAUUUCUUCUUGAGCUUUAUCUUACUUAUCUAGUCACAGUGAAAUUUAGACACACAACUUCUAUACUACAAGGAGGUUGUUUGUAAACCUAAUUCAAUAUGUAGCUUUUUAUAUGGAUAUGAAAUUCAAAAAUUUUCUAGCCCUCCUCUAUCCUCUAAUGUUUCCUGUUGAACUGAACAAACUCAAGGUAAUAUAUGGCUAGCAUGAGUUGAAAUCUUUUGUGCACUCUUUCUGUGAUAAACCAGGUGAAGCUAAUCAUAUUCACUGGCUGGGAAACUUCUGAAAUAGUAGAUGUUAUUCAUGAUAUAAAGCACAUGAUGGGCGAUGUGUUGUUCCGGUUAGUCUUGGAGAUGGUUGCUUUUCGGCCGAGCAGAGCCAAAUUCCCUUGCUGUUGCAGACUGCAAGUGUGCCAUAGCCAUUCCUCAUGGCAAUGAUGGCUUCCUAGACUCCAAUCCAAUGCACUAUAUGGACUUGCUUGUGAGUUGCCUUAUAGUCCUAGAAGCUUGAAGAAAUGUUGUCUCCAAGGAGCGUAGCGUGAUGUCAAAUGACUUGAGAUUUGCACAGUAGAUCUCGAGUUCGAGUAAGGACAUGCAUCUCUUAUAAGAGCUUGGGACAGCCGGGGUUUUACUCGCUCACCUAAACCCACAAAAUACGCUUUCCGAGAACUGGAAUUUCCUCAUAAUCCAAAAAAAUAUAAUGUUAAGAUUAGUUUUAGUUUUCUGAGGUGAGGUCUAUGUAUGCAUUCCAAUUAAUGAUUUCGAUUCUCGUUCUUAUGUUGGGCAUAAAGAACUAGUAAUCAAAAUCAUCUUUCCAUUGCAUUGAUAUAUAUAUAUAUAUUUCGUUGUACAUCCUAUGCUGAUCUGAAUGUUCAAAUCCUUGAUUUUGUUCCA